AAGGAUAUACUUACCCAGAGAGAACGGUGGAACGAGGGAAGCGCAAUGCUCAGGGCGCUUAGUGACCUGCAUAUGACCAGGCUGAUGGGCAACGACAAACAGCUGAAAACAAAGCUCUUGUCCAGUGUGAAGGCCUGCAUUGAAACUCGCCAUCCAGACUUUUUGGGAGACCAUAAACAAGACGCCCAUGAGUUCUUGCUGGUUUGCCUGUCUCACCUUAAAGAGGAGGGCGAGUUUCUGC